rnacentral:lncRNA from 1 species
CGGAGUCUCGCUCCGUCCCCCAGGCGGGAGUGCAGUGGCGCGAUCUCGGCUCACUGCAAGCUCCGCCUCCCGGGUUCACGCCAUCUUGCCACUAAACCUGAUUUACCAACAUAACCUGUUUCUGGCCAUGCUGUGAAUCUGCAUUCUUUACUGUGUCCUUGGGAUACUAGGAGGAACCAGAGGAGCAGAUCCUGCUAGGAGGCUAAGCAUGAAGAAGGAAUUCAAAGAAACCUUGUGGAGAACGAAGACACAGCAGGGAGUCUCUGAUCAAGUGCCACAUCUUUAGAGAAGCUUUUCCAAACAACCGAUUAUGAAGUACACAUUAACAAUGAAGCCUCUUUUCAAGUAAAGAAGUUUUAUUUGAUAUGAUUAAAAUAACUAUAACAUAUAUGCGAAAUAUGAAGCCAAAUAAUAAAAUUAAGAAGCAUGGAUCCAUCAUUCUACUCAAAAAGCCUUCAAGCUCCAGAUAAUCCUCAGUGAGGUAUACUGUCCGCUCAAUAUCCAAGAGUCACCCUUCUACAAGGGACCUCUAGACUGCCCAUAAGUGAGACAUGACAGAGGUAAAGUCAUGCUCCUGUCUCCCUUGGACCUGGCUGGAAACUGCAUUCAUCAACCCAUGGAACCACCCCCCUGCCAUGAAAGCUAGCAAGAGGCCAAGACCCACAGAACAACCACCAUCAUCCCUCUGUCAGCAGGAAGCGGUUACAAAAGACUAACCUUUGCCCAUUUUCCCCAAAGAAUUGGGGUCUUGGAAUCUUGAGGGAGGAAAUGUUACAGUAGGUAGCUAGUCAGACAUGAGCAGAGCAGAAGAGGGCUUACACACACACACACACACACACACACACACACCCCACACACAAAGAAUCCUGGGCAACCAUCAGGCGAUUGUAAGGUGGUUGUUAACUGUGUCUCUAAAAUAACGAUUGGUCACAACCAGUGCAAUGGAAAGGCAGUCUCUCAAUAAACAGAAACACCUGGAGCUGAUGAUCAGCAGCUUCCUGAUCAGGUCUCAGAAGUUUGGCAAGCUGGCCUACACAUGCGCACUAAGAGGCAAAAUGGCACAGUUUAACUGGUAUAUGACUUCCAAUGGACAUUCAGCAUGUAAGGGAAAAAUGCCUCAAGUAAGCAUGCAUACAACUCCACUAAACACACUGUGCAUGCUCCCCUCUCAAGUGCUGGCAGGCCAGUGCACAUGGGGACAGCCCACCCCAAAGAAAGUCUCAAGGGUGUAGGGAUGCAAGACCCCGGGAAUAUGCCAAUGUAUUAAACCCUAAGUCAAAAGGUCAAAUCAUGCACUUGUCUUUCAAGUCACCCACUUGACCCUCUUCCAAGUGUACUUUCCUUCCUUUUGUUACUACUCUAAAGCUUUUUAAUAAAUUUUCACUUUUUGAAUUCUUGUCUGCAACUUAGACUAACCUUGCUUGUUUCUCUGAACCAACCAGUGAUCUCUGGCUCGACUCAGAAGCAACAAAUAGAUGGGUAAUGUAAAAAUAUGGAUUAAUAUUCUAAUUCUGGGGGUACAAAUCUAAAAUUUGCUUCAGUCUCUCCUUCUACCUAUGCCCCUCAGUUAAAUUCUUUCUUCUGAGGAGGCUAGAAUUGAGGUUGCUGCAGACCUGUACCGAUUCACCACCAGUAGCAGGUACUAGAAAGAUUAAGGAGAGGAACAUUCUGGUUAUGAAGGUCCAAUUCUCUUACCAUAUGUUCCAAGUUGUUUUUUUGUUUUGUUUUGUUUUAAUUCUCUGUAGUCCUGGGAACUGCCUCACUCUCAUAUUUGAGUUCUGGGAUAUUGUUGGUGAUAGUCUCUGCAGUGUAUAUUGGUUUUUAUAUUUUGUGGAGGGGGAGUGAAGCCAGUUUGCUUCUAUGCUGCCAUUUUGAAACCCUGCCACAAGUCAUUUAUUCCUGUUGUUGGAAAAUAUUCCAUUGAUUAGGUGUAAUACCAUUUGUUUAUCCAUUCACCUAUUGGGAAAGAUCUUAUUUGCUUCAAGUUUUGGCAAUUGUAAAUAAAACUGCUAUAAAUCUGUGCAGGUUUUUGUGCAGAUAGAAGUUUUCAUCUCAUUUGUGUAAAUGCCAUAGAGUGCAGUUGCUGGAUUGUAUGGUUAGUAAAUUAGUCUAUUUUUAUGCUGCUGAUAAAGACAUACAAGAGACUGGCUAACUUAUAAAGAAGCAGAGGUUUAAUGGACUCACAGUUCCGUGUGGCUGGGGAGGCCUCACAACCAUGGUGGAAAGGGAAAGACAUGUCUUAUAUGGCUGCGGGCAAAAGAGAAUGAGAGCCAAUGAAAGGGGUUUCCCCCUAUAAAACCAUCAGAUCUCAUAAGACUUAUUCACUACCUCGAGAACAGUAUGGGGGAAACUACCCCCAUCAUUCAAUUAUCUCCCACUGGGCCCCUCCACAACAUGUGGAAAUUAUGAGAGCUACAAUUCAAGAUGAGAUUUGGUGGGGACACAGCCAAUCAUAUUAGUAAGAAUAUGCUUACUUCUGUAAAAAGCUGCCAAACUCUCUUCUAAAUUGGCUGUAACUGUUUGCAUUUUCAUUAGUAAUGAAUGAGAGUUUCUGUUGUUCCACAUCCUCUCCAGCAUUUGGUGUAAGCAUUUAGAAUUUUAGACAUUCUACUAGGUGUAUCAUGGUAUCUCCUCGUUGUUUUAAUUUAUAAUUUCCUGAUGACAAAUGAUGUUGAGCAUAUUUUAUAUCAUAUAUAUGUACACACACACACAUUCUUUGGUCAGAUGUCUGUUCAGGUUUUCAGCCCAUAUUUUAAUUGGGUUGUUGCUUUGUUCAGUUUAAAGAGUUAUUCAUACAUUUUAGAGCUCAGUCCUUUAUCAGAUAUGUAUUUUGCAAAGAUUUUCUUCCAAUCUGUGGCUUGUAUUUUCAUUCUCCCAACAGUGUCUUUCACAGAGCAGAAGUUUUUAUUUUUAAUAAAGUACACCUAAUCAAUAUUUUCUUUCAUGUAUUGUGCUUCUGGUGUUGCAUCUAGAAAGUCAUCACCAAACCUAAGGUCACCUAGACUUUCUCCCAUAGUAUCUUCUAUUAGUUUUAUAGUUUUUAGCUUUAAAUUUAGGUUUAUGAUUCAUUUUAAAUUAAUUAUUUUUGAAAUGUUUAAGAUCUGUGUAUAGAAUCUUUUUUGCAUAUGAAUAUCCAGUUGUUCCAGCACCAUUUGUUGAGGAUUGCUUUUUCUUCCUGGAAUUAUCAUUGCUCCUUUGUCACAGAGCAGUUGACUGUGUGGAUCUACACACAAAUUUAAGCCAACAGCUGUUGCAGUUCUAUGUUUAUAAUAAUGUUUAAAUUUUGAAUCCAACUAUUAAUAUGAAUUUUAAGCCACUUCUCUGUCUCUUUUGAUUUGAAUGUGGAGGGUGUCAUUUACUUCAGAAGGUAUGUAAAAGAGAUGUGCAACUUAGAAAAAUCAAAAUAAAUUUUAGCAUAAAUAUUCAACACAGAAUGGAAACAGAAUUUUACUCAUGUAGCUAAAUAUGG